AUAAAGUAUAGUAAUUAUGGUACUUGGAACAAUAUCAAGUUACUACGAAGCAAAUAAUAAAUUUGUCUAAACAAAAGAAACGAACAAAAUAAAUUAAUUAACUUGGGCCGACCCAAAUAAAUUCAAAUCAAGUCCAAAUGUCCUUAACAAUUUUAAAAGAGUGUUGUGCCAUCAAAUCCCCUUAUAUUUUAGCCCAACUCCACAAAUAAAAUUCACUCCUAGAAAUUUGUUGGGGCAAGCCCAAAAUCUUCUUCCUUCUUUCUUCUUCUUCCCUUGCGUCGAUCCCUUUCCCAUGGAGACCCUCCACCUUUCAACUCUUCCACCUUCCUCAUUCAUUCCUACAAUCAAAAGACACACCAUUUAAACAUAUCCAUCCUUUCAUUUCUCUCCUCACAAUACACUCUACAACAAGAGCCGAGAGAGAGAGCCAAGAGGAAGAGGUAGAAGAAGUUGCUGCCAUUUUUUUUCCACAACCAAGUUUAGUUCUCAACGAGGUGGUUCGCAAGCCAGCUAAAGUCGGAACAAGAAGUUAUUUAAGGAAAUUUCUAAGCUAUUGAGAUUGAGCGUGGACGGGAG